rnacentral:lncRNA from 1 species
GGGUAAAAAAUUUUAACCUAACAGAAAAUUAACUAACUACUGCUGAUAUAUUUCAGUUUCCCCUCCAUGAAAAGGAGAAUUAAGAUGUAAUAAUUUAAGUAUAACCUUGAAUUACAGACUGUUUAUCUCUUGGAAUCUGGGUUUUGUAAAGGGUCCUAGAUAAUAAGCAGACAGCCUUGGAGGGAAUUUUGGGGGAAAUAAAGCUAUUAGCAGUCUAAUUUGUUAGUAUUUAAUUUUGAUUUUUCAGAAAAUUCCCUUCUCCAAGACAACCUUUUAUGUUAGAAUAGUAAGAAUAAUGAUAUCUCUUUAAAAACAAAGAUUUUAUGGUUAGACUAGGUAAGGUGGACAAGUAGAAACUCUGUAGUGUCGUGUCCUAGUUUGAAGUAGGAUAUUCUUAGGAGUUAUUACAGUGAUUAUCUGUCUGAGGUGAAAAUUAACCUAAGUUUUAAAGUAAAUCUAUUUGAAAUUUGCUUAAGUAUUGACUUAGGUAAGCCUUGUCUGAGUUUAUUUCUUUCUGUUUUUUUUUUCAAUAAGUGUGGCCCCUUUUUGUGUUUGAAAUAGGAGUCAGUAUUCAAUGUUAACCAUAUUUUUAUUAGUGACAUUUGUUUUGAUCAUGACAAUUUAUUAAGCUGAAUUAGACUUCUUUCAGUAGCUCGUUAGAGACAAUCUCAAGGGCUGGAAAGUGUUGCUAAAAUGGAUAUUGUACAUUUCCACAAUAAUGUACAAUAAUGAAUGACUAAUGAAAUUA